GGAAGCGUAGUGUUCAACGGUCAGCAUAUCUGACUUCCAAUCAGACGGAGCGGGUUCGAAUCCCGUCGCUUCCU
rnacentral:tRNA from 1 species